GUCCAGACUCCUACGGGAGGCAGCAGUGGGGAAUAUUGCACAAUGGGGGAAACCCUGAUGCAGCGACGCCGCGUGAGUGAAGAAGUAUUUCGGUACGUAAAGCUCUAUCAGCAGGGAAGAAAAACCGGCCUUAGGGCCGCCAGACGGUACCUGACUAAGAAGCCCCGGCUAACUACGUGCCAGCAGCCGCGGUAAUACGUAGGGGGCAAGCGUUAUCCGGAUUUACUGGGUGUAAAGGGAGCGUAGACGGCAGCGCAAGUCUGGAGUGAAAUGCCGGGGCCCAACCCCGGAACUGCUUUGGAAACUGUGCAGCUCGAGUGCAGGAGAGGUAAGCGGAAUUCCUAGUGUAGCGGUGAAAUGCGUAGAUAUCAGGAGGAACACCGGUGGCGAAGGCGGCCUGCUGGACUGCGACUGACGUUGAGGCCCGAAAGCGUGGGGAGCAAACAGGAUUAGAUACCCUCGUAUU
rnacentral:rRNA from 1 species